UACAUAGGGUGCAAGCGUUGUCCGGAAUUAUUGGGCGUAAAGAGCUCGUAGGUGGUUCGUCACGUCGGAUGUGAAAAUCUGGGGCUUAACCCCAGACCUGCAUUCGAUACGGUCGGACUGGAGUGUGGUAGGGGAGACUGGAAUUCCUGGUGUAGCGGUGGAAUGCGCAGAUAUCAGGAGGAACACCAAUGGCGAAGGCAGGUCUCUGGGCCAUUACUGACACUGAGGGGCGAAAGCGUGGGGAGCAAACGGAAUUAGAUACCCUGGUAGGCCACGCCGUAAACGAUGGGCACUAGUUGUGGAAACCUUCCACGGUUUCUGCGACGCAGCUAACGAAUUAAGUGCCCCGCGUGGGGAGUACGAUCGCAAGAUUA
rnacentral:rRNA from 1 species